CUCAAAGAUUAAGCCAUGCAUGUCUAAGUAUAAGCAACUAUACGGUGAAACUGCGAAUGGCUCAUUAAAUCAGUUAUCGUUUAUUUGAUAGUACCUUACUACAUGGAUACCUGUGGUAAUUCUAGAGCUAAUACAUGCUAAAAACCCCGACUUCGGAAGGGGUGUAUUUAUUAGAUAAAAAACCAAUGCCCUUCGGGGCUCCUUGGUGAAUCAUAAUAACUUAACGAAUCGCAUGGCCUUGCGCCGGCGAUGGUUCAUUCAAAUUUCUGCCCUAUCAACUUUCGAUGGUAGGAUAGUGGCCUACCAUGGUAGCAACGGGUAACGGGGAAUUAGGGUUCUAUUCCGGAGAGGGAGCCUGAGAAACGGCUACCACAUCCAAGGAAGGCAGCAGGCGCGCAAAUUACCCAAUCCCGACACGGGGAGGUAGUGACAAUAAAUACUGAUACAGGGCUCUUUUGGGUCUUGUAAUUGGAAUGAGUACAAUUUAAAUCCCUUAACGAGGAACAAUUGGAGGGCA
rnacentral:rRNA from 1 species